rnacentral:lncRNA from 1 species
CUUCUGCUGCCUCAUGUGUCCCUUCCAGAGGUCUUGGGAGAAACCGACCCUCGCACUGGCUUCCUUUGCUGCAUCUCUGGAGGUUACGGUGCAAUCUUUGGAGCCUGUGUGAGCCCUGCGAUAGCUGAGUUAGAGGUCGGCUUCUGCUGGAAACUAAGUGAGACAUUAAGAGAUGACUCCAACAGAGGCGCGGUGGAAUUCAGAGUCCCCCUGAUCUGAGUCUUGGAGGCCUCAUCCUGCUCCAUGAAGCUGUGCCCCUGAAGCCCAUAGGCCCCACAGACCCCACCUGAGAUGUCUUCUUUUGCUUGCUGGAACCUGUCUCUAACCCUUCUUGUCCUGUUCUGCAGCCCAGGGUCUGGUGAAAAGGCCUUUGAAGUCUACAUACGGUCCGAGAAGCAGAUAGUAAAAGCCACAGAGGCUUGGAGAGUCAACUGCAGCACCAGCUGUGCAGCCCCAGAGAUCGGUGGUCUGGAGACCCCUACGAAUAAGUUAAUGUUGGAAGAGGACCCUCAUGGGAAAUGGAUAGAAUUCCUAGUCUCAAACGCCACUGUCGACACGGUCUUACUUUGCCAUUUCACUUGUUCGGGAA